rnacentral:lncRNA from 1 species
CCGGGUGGUUGUGGCUGAGUGAAGGUGGCGGUGAAGUCUACGGCAGCCGGUUUCGAUAACCGUAUGGCAGCGGCGGUUAGUGGUGGUGCUUGGUUUGGUUGAGGUUCUCUUCAGAUGUGGUUGGUUCGGGUUCGCGGUGGGUUCGGUUCGUCUGGUUAUAACUCGGUUAACCAAUCCAUAUACCAAGACCAAAAGACUACUACAUCGCUUUGACUAAGCUCCAAUUCUGCAUUUCGGGUCAACACAUCACAGGACAACUCAGUCUCGGUUCGGUCAACCCGGGUCAGACCCGGUCAACUCACUGAGCCAACUCGGGUCAACUCAGUCAGGUCUCGUUUCGGGUCAACGGUUCAAGUUUGGGUUCAGAUUUUAGCUUUGAGAUGUUCGGUUCAAACAGGUCACAGUCAACGGUUCGGGUCAGCAAAUUAGUCAACGCACGUAACUCGAUCAACUUUCAGUCAGCACAGUCUACACCCGGUCAACUCUAGACCCGGAAUGUCAUAGUUGCACGCUAGCUAAUUCACGUUCUUGGAAUGACAUCACGGAAUCAAGUUAAGCUAGCUUUGCACAGGAAUGUCAAGGUUGCAUUUUUAAAACUAAGGAACGGUUGGAAUAGGAGAACCCAUGGAAAUUCGAGUACCUAGCAGGCGUUCACUGUUUAGAAGUCUUAACCUUUUGCUUCCGCUGUGCAAUGAAGAUACCGGUCCAGUUACGCCAGCUCUGAUAAUUUCGGGGUGUGACAACUCACUCCUCAUGCCACUGAGGUCUUCGAUGAGAUCAAGAAACAGGCUGCUGAAAUGUCUGUUUUAAUGGUUGAUUCGGACAAGUAUCAAGUCACAGGUCCGAGAUCACAGUGUGUUGUGAAUGUUAAAAAUAAAACUUGUGCAUGCAGGAAGUGGGAUUUGACAGGGAUGCCUUGCAAACAUGCAGUUGCAGCCAUAUGGGAUAUGUCAAGGAAUAACAUUGAUGUUGGCAUACCAGAAGAGUGGGUGGAUGAAGUGUAUUGGCUGUCAACAUGGAAGAAAGUUUAUUACAAUGUCAUAGAGCCAAUCAACGGGCCGGAGAUGUGGACUCCUUCAGAGUGUCCAACAACACUCAUCCCACCAAAGCAUCAUGCACAAGUUGGAAGGCCAAAGAAGAAAAGAAAGAAGGCAUAUGGUGAAAAAGAGCUUGAGUAGGAGUUCGACAAAGGAGGUAAAAUGACCAGAAAGGGUAGUAGCAUCAAGUGUGGUAAAUGUGGGAAUAUGGGUCACAAUGUCAGGAGCUGCAAAGGACAAGGGGCUGAACAAUCCAUUGCUUCACAGGAAUCACACACUGCCACUCAAGGUGCACCAGUUUACAAUCUUGAUGAGUGAUGGAUGGUUUGUAAGUUUAGACUAUGUUUGUUUGUUUGUCAAGUUCGUUCAAGACAAUGUUUGGUUUGUACCUUUAUGUUUGGUUUGUUCAAAACAAUCUUAGGUUUCUACCUUUAUGUAUGGUUUGUUCAAGACAAUGUUAGGUUUGUCAACUUUGGUUUGUACCUUUAUGUAUGGUUUGUUAAGUUUGUAUUUUGG